rnacentral:tRNA from 1 species
UGCCUCGUAGCCAAGCGGUAAGGCAUCAGACUUUGACUCUGACAUUUCGAUGGUUCGAAUCCAUCCGAGGCAGCCA